rnacentral:rRNA from 1 species
UUCUUAAUUGAGUGUGACGGGGAACCAGGACUGUUACUUUGAAAAAAUUAGAGUGUUUAAAGCAAGCUCAUCCGCUUGAAUACAUUAGCAUGGAAUAACGAAAUAGGACGGAUUUGGAUCUAUUUUGUUGGUUUCUAGGACCACCGUAAUGAUUAAUAGGGAUAGUUGGGAAGGGCGAAUUC